rnacentral:lncRNA from 1 species
ACAAUUCACAUUUUCAAAAAUACUACAAACUUAAAAAAUUUUUUUUUACGAAAUUGUUUACAAAGAAGCUUUUAUUCUCUUUUUUUUUUUUUUUUAACUCUUCUUUAUCAUAAUCUUAUUCCAUCAAUUUUCUCUCAUUUUCUCCACUUCUUCGCAAGAGAAUCAUCAACACUUUUAGACAGUUAUUGACGACGUCACAGUAAUCACCAACACUUUUACUUCGCCGGUGCUUGUUCCUUUCUCAACCGCUUCUCCUUCAACAAAGACAACUACCCUCCCUCUCAUGUCAUGGAUUCUCUCAAAAAUUUUAGUUUUUAUUAUUUAGUUAUUUUUCUUUUCUCUUUCUAUAUGAUUUUCAGAUAGGUAUUGAGAUUUUCCUAUCCAAAGUAGAAGAGAAUGUCAGUCAACUCCAUAGUAGAUUUAAUAGUGGGGAAACAAUA